GACGAACGCUGGCGGCGUGCUUAACACAUGCAAGUCGAACGGAAAGGCCCUGCUUUUGCGGGGUUCUCGAGUGGCGAACGGGUGAGUAACACGUGAGUAUCCUGCCCUUGACUUUGUGAUAUCUUCAGGAAACUGCUGCUAAUACCGGAUAGGAGCUCCUGCUGCAUGGUGGUGGUUGGAAAGUUUCGGCUGUUGUGGAUCGACUCGCGGGUUAUCAGCUGGUUGGUGGGGUAGUGGCUUACCAAGGCUUUGACGGGUAGCCGGCCUGAGAGGGGGACCGGCGACAAUAGGACUACGAGACGGAGCAGACUGCAACGGGAGGCAGCGGUGGAAAGUAUUACACAAUGGGGGGACGCCUGAUGCGGCAGCGCCGCGAGCGGGAUGACGGGCUUCGGGUUAUGAACCGCUUUCGCCUGAGACGAAGCGGGAGUGACGGUAAUGGGUAAAGAAGCACCGGCUAACUACGUG
rnacentral:rRNA from 1 species